rnacentral:rRNA from 1 species
GAUGAACGCUGGCGGCGUGCCUAAUACAUGCAAGUCGAGCGAACAGACGAGGAGCUUGCUCCUCUGACGUUAGCGGCGGACGGGUGAGUAACACGUGGAUAACCUACCUAUAAGACUGGGAUAACUUCGGGACACCGGAGCUAAUACCGGAUAAUAUAUUGAACCGCAUGGUUCAAUAGUGAAAGACGGUUUUGCUGUCACUUAUAGAUGGAUCCGCGCCGCAUUAGCUAGUUGGUAAGGUCACGGCUUACCAAGGCAACGAUGCGUAGCCGACCUGAGAGGGUGAUCGGCCACACUGGGACUGAAACACGGUCCAGACUGCUACGGGAGGCAGCGGUAGGGAAUCUUCCGCAAUGGGCGAAAGCCUAACGGAGCAACGACGCGUGAGUGAUGAAGGUCUUAGGAUCGUAAAACUCUGUUAUUAAGGAAGAACAAAUGUGUAAGUAACUAUGCACGUCUUGACGGUACCGAAUCAGAAAGCCACGGCUAACUACGUG